GCAGCUUUAAGGGAAAUGACCCCGAAACCAAUGUCAUGACUUGCAUUGACUUAUUGACUUGCAUGGACUUUAAUUCUUUUUUGCUUCAUGAUUCGUUAAUUCUCUUCUUAUAUCAUAUUAGGCUUUUCUUUUUUUGCAGGGAGAUCAUCUGAUUGUUGCUGCUAUUUUUCUUGAUUGUUUUUCAAAUUUAUUAAAGGCUUUCUGAGGAUAGAAGUACCACUUCAUUGUCUCACUGAACCAAAGGAUAAUUUGGAAGGAGAUCUGCUUGUUGUUGUUUUCUUGAUAAAUUUUUGUAAGGAGAUCUUAGUUUCCUCCUAUCAUAAAAUUAAUCGAGACCUCUAAGGAUCGGAGAAGUACCAACUCAUCUGCUUCACUUGACCAGUUUGUUUCUUGCUUAAGGAGUUGGUGCUUAACAAAGAGCCAAGGAGGUUUGUGGAUCAUUUUAAUUGACUUUUGGGCUUCA